rnacentral:rRNA from 1 species
CACGUAGGGGGCAAGCGUUGUCCGGAUUUAUUGGGCGUAAAGAGCUCGUAGGCUGUUCAGUAAGUCAGGUGUGAAAACCCAAGGCUCAACCUUGGGACGCCACUUGAUACUGCUGUGACUAGAGUCCGGUAGAGGAGAUUGGAAUUCCUGGUGUAGCGGUGAAAUGCGCAGAUAUCAGGAGGAACACCAACGGCGAAGGCAGAUCUCUGGGCCGGUACUGACGCUGAGGAGCGAAAGCAUGGGGAGCGAACAGG